rnacentral:rRNA from 1 species
GAGAAGGUGGUCAGCCAGAGGGGGACUGAGACACGGCCCCCACUCCUACGGGAGGCAGCAAUCAGGAAUAGUCGGCAAUGGACGAAAGUCUGACCGCGCGACACCGCGUGUAGGAAUAAGCUCUAACGAGCGUAAACUACUGUGAUAGAGGAAGAAGACCUCCGAUUUGGAGGUUUGACGGUACUCUAUAAGAAAGGGGCCGCUAACUGCGUGCCAGAAGCGUCGGUAAUACGUGGGCCCCAAACAUUAUCCGGUUUUACUGGGUGUAAAAAGUAGUGUAGGUGUCUUUUUAAGUCCUUGUUUUAAAUACUGUGGCUCAACCAUAGGAAAGGGCGAGAUACUAUCAAGAUAGAGUUUGCUUUAGAGAAACUGGAACUCAGGGAGGAGUAGUGAAAUGCGUUGAUACCCUGGGGAACACCAGUGGCGAAGGCGAGUUUCUGAAAGCAGACUGACACUGAGACACGAAAGCUAGGGGAGCGAAGCAGAUUAGAGACCUGCGUAGUCCUAGCCCUAAACGUAUGCUUGCUAGCCGCAUUCUUUGACUUUUGUCGAGGGGUGUAGCGAAGGUAACCCGUUAAGCAAGCCACCUGGGGAGUACGGCCGCAAGGUUGAAACUCAAAGGAAUUGGCGGGGAGGCACACAACCAGUGGAACAUGUGGUUCAAUUCGAAACAAACCGAAGAACCUCACCAGGGUUUGACAUGCUAUCGUACAUUCUGCUAGAAUAGUGGGAAAUCCGCAAGGAUGAUAGCACAGGUGCUGCAUGGCUGUCGUCAGCUCGUUCCGUGAGGAGUACCCUUAAGUGGGACAACGAGCGCAACCCUUAUCUUGUGUUAUAUUUGUCACAAGAGACGGUCCCGACUUAGUCGGGAAGGAAGGCGGGGCAGACGUCAAGUCAGCAUGGUCCUUAUGCCCUGGGCUACACACAUGUUACAAUGGAUAAGAACAACGGGUUUUGCCACGAUGCAAAUCGGAGCAAAUCCCUGAAAUUUAUCCUCAGUGGGGAUUGGGGUCUGCAACUCGACCCCAUGAACACGGAAUUGGUAGUAAUCGCGAAUCAGUCAUGUCGCGGUGAAUACGUUCUUGCCUCUUGCACACACCGCCCGUCAAGCCAACAAAGUCGAUGAUAUUUGAAUCCUGAUUUAUUAGGAGAGGAUAUUACCGGCGAUGGGGGUUAAGUCGUAACAAGGUAACC